CGUGUAGGCGGGUCUUUAAGUCAGGGGUGAAAUGCCAAGGCUCAACCUUGGAACUGCCUUUGAUACUGGAGAUCUUGAGUCCGGAAGAGGUGAGUGGAAUUGCGAGUGUAGAGGUGAAAUUCGUAGAUAUUCGCAAGAACACCAGUGGCGAAGGCGGCUCACUGGUCCGGAACUGACGCUGAGACGCGAAAGCGUGGGAGCAAACA
rnacentral:rRNA from 1 species